CAUCAGUGCAUGCCACCAAAAUCUGCAGAGUUGUUGAGCUUAGUUUCUACCAUUUCACUGCGACAGACAUAAUUCAAUAAGUUUCAGUACCUGAAAGGGAGCAGCUAGAUUCCUUUUUGUUCCCAAGAAGGUGAAAUUUCCUGAUCAUGUAUAGCAAUAAGAUGGAUGGUCACAAAUUGAAUAACGGAUAAGUUGAUCAGAACAAAAGGAAAACACCCAAUUUGUUCCUCUGCCAUUAACAUCUUGUUUAGGAGAAAACAAAGUGAUAGAAUUCAAUUCAAUCGUGCUAAAAAAAUCCAUGAAUUCACAUGUUCGGAUACUGAAAUAAUAGAAUCCAAUUAAAUAUCAGUAUUUGAAAUAAUUGAAAGGUCAACUGAAUUGAAAAAAAGAUGCUCACAUCU
rnacentral:lncRNA from 1 species